rnacentral:ribozyme from 1 species
CAAGCAAAAUAUAACAAAGUAAGACUAAAUAAAUAGUAUAUGUAUCUUCUUUUUCCUUUCUUUUUUUGUCUUUUCCUUUUUAUCUUUUUUUUAGUUCAAUCGUUCAUUCGUUCAUUUGUUGUCGUUCAAAGAAAGAGAGAAAAAGAGAGAGAGAGAGAGUUUUGUUUAACAUUCUGCGCCUCCGGGCGCUUAUUUUUAAUUUACAAAAAAAAAACAUGGAUACAAAUGGUACAAUACAAAUACCAGGGUACGGCGAGUUGCACUUAAAGCCAUAAAUUACCGCAGUAAUCUAGUACGAUAAAAUAAUGACGUCGAUCCAAAGUAAAGAACAAAUCUACAAAGUUCUAUUUAGCGACGAACACGAACACGAUUACGACUAUCCUCAAUCAUCAACAGCAGGCUGCCUAGAACAUCAUGAGAGUAGAAGAUAUCAUUCGUAUAUCCUUCGUGGUUUGAAAAAUGAAAACGAGAUACCUAAAUGGUGUGAAUUUUGUGCUGAUGUAUUUUCUUAUAAGAAAUCAAAUCCACCACCGGCAGAAUAUUUUUAUCGUCAUUAUGUGAAUGAUCCAAGUACUUCAAGUUCAAGGAUUACUAACACUACUACUAAUC